CCCUGCCCCAGCACUGGGCCAUGGGAACUCAGCCAAGGCUCCAGAAUGGUGUGGGCCUUGGGGUUUUAUAAACGUUAGCUAUACUCAAAGGGGGUUGCACCUUAUAUUUUGUGAAUGGGUGUCUUGUAUUAUAUAGUUUAUAUUUUAUGUUUUAUGAGUACAAGUUGAUAAAGUCUAAACUGAAGAGGUAUAUUCAAAUCAUUCAUCUGAUAUAAUGAGGCUAAGUAAUGAUAGAGUGUGUAUAUUUUGUAUGUUUUUAUUUAAUGUUUAAGUAGAUUUGGAUCUGAUAGAAUGUAAAGCUGUAAGACAAGUAUUGAAAAUUAAAUUUAAUUCUUAGUGGGAUAGUUAACUGUGUCCUUGGGGGGGGGGAUAUAGGCCUAUGUAAAUAUUACCUAUAUUCUUGAUAGUUUAAAUGGUUUGUUAUAUAUGUAUAUUCUGGUGACACCCUUGUUGAUACUUAUUUAUGGUUCCCCUUUACUUACCCAUUUGUUAUUUGUUCUAGGGUAGUUAACUUCCUGUGUAGAGUGUGAAGCCCUUGAGAUGGGAUAAUCCUCUAGUUCAGGGGUA